UUUCUAUGUUUUACCUUGCUCUAAUAUUUGUUCCCUGGGUUGAGAAUGGCAAGAAGAUGCUUAUACUCCAUGGUACAAAGUGCUAUUGGUGCAGUUUUGAACUCCUUGCUGACAGAUCAUUCUCACCUGAUGCGCCAACAAUAACAUCAUCAAGCUAUUUGAGUGUAGUGGUGGAACUCCCUGGAGGACACCUCACCACUGGAUGAAACUCACAACGACCGGAAUCUACACCGUCCAGUGUGUCAUGGCGUCCCUCCUCUAGCUCACUCUUGGUUAUCGCCGUCUUUGUCGCCCUUUCACAAAUCCCUAUGGGGGAAAUAAUGUAUGACAUGUGUUGCCUACUUGAUUCCGGCUUUACAGAUCUUCGCAUGUGACCUGCGGUGAGGACCAGUUUAUUAGGGGACAUAGUUGAAGAGCAGCAUUGAUUGGUAAGCCUCGUAUGGUAUUACUUGCAUAAUAAAGAUUGAAAUUUACCAGUUUGUUUCCUUUUUUUCUCUGUUUUACUAUCUUUAUUUGCAAAGUUAAAUAAGUAUGUAUAUUUUAGGCCUAUAAUUUACUAACUAUUUCAAUCUCUCUUGUGGAUCUGUGGUGAGGUGUGUGGUGACCAGUGGUGCCUGAGGGCAUCUGGAUGUUGGUAGACGCACUAAGUUGCGGCGGCCACCAGCUGCAGCAGCUGCACUACAGGACGGCGGGCGGCAGUAGCAAGAUGAGGCAGUGACCAGCAGCAGCUGCACUACGGGGCGGCGUUAGCGAGUAGCAGCAGUAAGGCGAGGCAGUGGUGAGCAGCGGAACAACCAUGCAAACUGCAAGAAGAAUGAAGAAGCGGUAGCAACAUAUGGUGAAUCAUCAGUUUACAGAUACCCAUGAGAUGAAAUACCAUGCUAUCUUUUAGUCAGAUAAGUUGAUGAUAUGUGCCAAAUUAUACAUGCACAAUUUGGGUUAAGAGCUCCCGCCCAUUCCCUAUCGAGAUUAGCCUAUGGAUUAUCCGAGACAUCAUCCGAGGAGAUGGAGUUGUCCAUCCGUUAUGCUUCAAUCUUGCUGUGCGUAAGAUUACUACCGACGCAGCCGAGAGGAGCGCAGACACCAGCUCUGUUGGAAAGACACAUUUUUUCAAUUUGGGAUUCCAUGAGCAAGCACGCGCGCUAAGGCAGACCUGGUUAAGCCAAGAACAGCACACCAAUGCGCUGAUUAACAAUGUCGUGCAUGAGCCUUUUCCAAGAUACGACGUGUUUCACACCCCUACAAUUUAUCUUCUCCCACUGGCGCUUGUGGAUUCGUCCUAUGGUCUUUUAGCAGUGAAAAUGGAAAUGGAGAGGACUAUCGUUAUUGAUUAUUAAAACGAGGCUUUAUUUCAGUUUGAGGAGGACUUCCAUGACACUGAACUUCAGAGGGAAGCCCUUUUAGUGAAGCAAGAAUACAGCUUUGUCUUGCAACAGGAGGCCCCUGAUAGGAGAAGCCAACUUGUGGAAUGGCUCGGACAAGAGAACAUUCAUCUAUCGGCCGAUACAUCUUGUACGUCAUCGACAAAGAGGCACAUUGUCUAUAUAUUAUGGAUCCUAUUCAAACAUCACAAUCGUCAGAGGAUAAAAAAUUGAGGCAUGCACUGAAAUUAAAAAGUUUUGCAAGGGAUUUCAAAGAAGCACUCGAAAUAAAGCUGUCUGGUUGGAAUUCUGAUAUAUCUAAAUGACAACGUUUAUUUCUGUUCGGUGUUCCUGUGAGUAUAGACGGGAAUGUGUCUGGCUAUUUUGUUUUUUAUUUUAUGCUCUGGUGGAAUGGUAAAGAAUUGGUCAAGCCGGUUUGUGCGGAUGGGUAUGAAUUGAGGAAGCAUUUUUUAUUAUACUUGCUAAAACAUCAUGGGAAUGAAGUUAGAGGAAACUUUUCUGAUAUUGUGAAAGAAUUUCUUAAACGCAUCAUCUAGAUAUUAAUAGUUUUGUAAUAGAUGUUCAGUUGGACCAUCACUUAGUUUGUUACAUGGACAUGUCGUUAAUUUUUCUUUA